rnacentral:rRNA from 1 species
AAGAGUUUGAUCAUGGCUCACAUUGAACNCUAGCGGGAUGCCUUACACAUGCAAGUCGAACGGCAGCACGGACUUCGGUCUGGUGGCGAGUGGCGAACGGGUGAGUAAUGUAUCGGAACGUGCCCAGUAGCGGGGGAUAACUACGCGAAAGCGUAGCUAAUACCGCAUACGCCCUACGGGGGAAAGCAGGGGAUCGCAAGACCUUGCACUAUUGGAGCGGCCGAUAUCGGAUUAGCUAGUUGGUGGGGUAACGGCUCACCAAGGCGACGAUCCGUAGCUGGUUUGAGAGGACGACCAGCCACACUGGGACUGAGACACGGCCCAGACUCCUACGGGAGGCAGCAGUGGGGAAUUUUGGACAAUGGGGGAAACCCUGAUCCAGCCAUCCCGCGUGUGCGAUGAAGGCCUUCGGGUUUGUAAAGCACUUUUGGCAGGAAAGAAA